rnacentral:lncRNA from 1 species
GUGCGAGACCGGCUGAACGUGUGAAGUUAGCCUGUUUGGAGACCCGUUUCAAUUGGACGUAGCCUGUUUGUUGGGCUGCCGGCGAAUGUAUUCUUGCGUUCCUUGUGCACUUUAACACGGCACCACUGCACUAGUGGACUACCGCAAGGUGUGCGAGCAUCACUUUAAUGCGGAAGAUGUCGUUCAAGAGACAAGCUAUAUUGAUUAAGCCACUGGCCGCACAGUGACCACGUCGCUCUCACGUUUGUGGCUUCAACCUGAGGCCGUGCUGACGGUAUUCCCUGAUUGCUAAAAGCUGCCUGCCUAGAGAAGGAACUAGACAAGAGGACCCAGAGAGAAGGACGCAAGAAUUGUCGGAAAGGCGUCGUGCCGAGUGGUUUCGCCGCAUUCGUCGCGCUGACAUCGACAAAAAUUCUCCGAACUACAAAGUGUGCGGUGUUCACUUCAUUUCUGGAAAGCCAUCUUAUUUGAUGGACGAGACAAACCCAGACUGGGCACCAAGUCUUCAGUUAGGGUACGCAAUAAACCCUAUAGAUCUUGCAAGGGACAGGUAUGGCAUGCCCUUUUUGCUCGCUUUUGCUUUCUCCUACAACUCGAGCAACAAUAAAGCAUUGCUCUCACGAUAAUAUUUGCGCAUUAUGUAUCGCUGCAAGUUUUUAGCAAGGCCAGAAAUGCACUAUAAAGGUUGUGGAAUGGUUAUCAUAAAUGAAAGUAUUUUUUCUUGUGAUUCGUUAGCUGCUGUGAUGAAAGUACAUACUUGCGUAGUGUGAAUGUAAUUUGACACGCUUUAAACUUAUCAAGACGGGGGCUGUA